GACGAACGCUGGCGGCGUGCUUAACACAUGCAAGUCGAACGGAAAGGCCCUGCUUUUGUGGGGUGCUCGAGUGGUGAACGGGUGAGUAACACGUGAGUAACCUGCCCUUGACUUUGGGAUAACUUCAGGAAACUGGGGCUAAUACCGGAUAGGAGCUCCUGCUGCAUGGUGGGGGUUGGAAAGUUUCGGCGGUUGGGGAUGGACUCGCGGCUUAUCAGCUUGUUGGUGGGGUAGUGUCUUACCAAGGCUUUGACGGCUAGCCGGCCUGAGAGGGUGACCGGCCACAUUGGGACUGAGAUACGGCCCAGACUCCUACGGGAGGCAGAAGUGGGGAAUAUAGCACAAUGGGCGGAAGCCUGAUGCAGCAACGCCGCGUGCGGGAUGACGGCCUUCGGGUUGUAAACCGCUUUCGCCUGUGACGAAGCGUGAGUGACGGUAAUGGGUAAAGAAGCACCGGCUAACUACGUG
rnacentral:rRNA from 1 species